rnacentral:rRNA from 1 species
AGUGAACGCUGGCGGUAGGCCUAACACAUGCAAGUCGAACGGCAGCACAGUAAGAGCUUGCUCUUACGGGUGGCGAGUGGCGGACGGGUGAGGAAUACAUCGGAAUCUACUUUUUCGUGGGGGAUAACGUAGGGAAACUUAAGCUAAUACCGCAUACGACCUACGGGUGAAAGCAGGGGAUCUUCGGACCUUGCGCGAAUGAAUGAGCCGAUGUCGGAUUAGCUAGUUGGCGGGGUAAAGGCCCACCAAGGCGACGAUCCGUAGCUGGUCUGAGAGGAUGAUCAGCCACAUUGGAACUGAGACACGGUCCAGACUCCUACGGGAGGCAGCAGUGGGGAAUAUUGGACAAUGGGCGCAAGCCUGAUCCAGCCAGACCGCGUGUGUUAAGAAGGCCUUCGGGUUGUAAAGCCCUUUUGUUGGGAAAGAAAAGCAGCAGGUUAAUACCCCGCUGUUCUGACGGUACCCAAAGAAUAAGCACCGGCUAACUUCGUG